CAGGUGCUGCAUAGGCUGUCGUCAGCUCGUGUCGUGAGAUGUUGGGUUAAGGUCCCGUAACGAGCGCAACCCUUGUCCUUAGUUACCAGCACGUUAUGGUGGGCACUCUAAGGAGACUGCCGGUGACAAACCGGAGGAAGGUGGGGAUGACGUCAAGUCAUCAUGGCCCUUACGGCCUGGGCUACACACGUGCUACAAUGGUCGGUACAAAGGGUUGCCAAGCCGCGAGGUGGAGCUAAUCCCAUAAAACCGAUCGUAGUCCGGAUCGCAGUCUGCAACUCGACUGCGUGAAGUCGGAAUCGCUAGUAAUCGUGAAUCAGAAUGUCACGGUGAAUACGUUCCCGGGCCUU
rnacentral:rRNA from 1 species